UCGGCUCUCCCACUCCAAUGUAUGGCUCGGCUUGGUUCUUAAUGCAUCCGAUGCACCACUACUGCUACUCCUAUGUACAAACCUCCAGCACCUCUUAGCUUUACACCAAACCACACAUGACUUUGAUUUGUUACUAGCAUGUAUCCUGAAAUUUCUGCAGAAGUUGAGGGCUCAUCUGCACUAAUAACGUGCAAAUAAAUUAAGACAUAAGCCAAAGGAUCUCAAGCGUUAAUCUUACAUACAAUACCGCAAACAAUCCAAGUGUUACGGCAAAAGCAAGCGGAAAAGAUCUAGUUCGUCGAGCGUUUAGCCGGACACCAUCAUUUUUUUUUUUUCAUUCCUAUUAGAUUACUAGAAAUCUUAAAAAGAUAGCAAACCAAACCGACCCGUAUAAUUAAAUUAAAUUUGUUAUUUAUGUGAGCAUGUGUAUACAGUGAAAUUACAGUUCCAGAUCGAAAAUCAAAGUGAGUCAUUCCAAAUAAUAGUUCAAUUAAUUGCACAGGAGCAGGCACAGGGAGAGUGCUAGGGCUAGACAGAGCAGAGCGGAGGGCCAGGGAGCGGGUGGUUUCGGAGCGGGAGCUGCGGCGGGGGCGCGGAGGGACGGAGGGUUUUUGAGCGCGGGUGCGGGGAAAGGGGGGGCUGAGGGCUGGGGGGUGGGGGCUGGGCUAGGCUGACCGAGGGGGAGCUCAGGCCAGGCGGGGCCCGAGCUCGGGGAAGGGGAAGGGGAAGGGGAAGGGGAAGGGUGAGAGGGACGCACCUGAGAAGUAGGAAGAGCACCGGAGUGGGAGGAGCGCAGCAGCCGGCCGGCGGAGGGAGCGAAGUCGCCUUGGAGGAGUAGCCAUCGAAGAGGGUUUCUCGGGAGGAGUAGGGGUGUAAACGAGCCGAAC
rnacentral:lncRNA from 1 species